GAGGCUUUAGCUUAAUUAAAGUGUUUGAGUUGCAUUCAUAUGAUGUAUAUUAGAUAUAUACAAGUCUUG
rnacentral:tRNA from 1 species